rnacentral:lncRNA from 1 species
GUUAAAAUGAGAAGUACGAGCAUUUGAAGACAUUUUGAAAUAGGUACGUAAAAAAAAGUUCGAAAAAAAAAUUUGAAAAAAAAAUUUGAAAGAAAAAAAAUUUGAAAGAAAAAAAUUGUAUACGGUUUAGGUGCGGACGAAAAGAACUUGAAAGAUCCGUAAAAAAAAAGAGUCUGGAGACACUUCAAUAGAAAUUUUUCCAAAAUCUCAUUCUACACUCUUUUAUAUCCCCCGUAGUGAAAUUUCAC